rnacentral:lncRNA from 1 species
GUUGAGGGUCUCCAGGCCUGGAGUUGGCUGGCAGGAGUUGAGCAGGAAGCAGGUGGGCACGCAGGGCUGAGGAAUGUGGCAGGGUGGGGGACAGUUGUCACAGCAGGUGGGCUCCAGUAACCAAACUGUGUGUGGGCAGGAGUUGAGCAGGAAGCAGGUGGGCACGCAGGGCUGAGGAAUGUGGCAGGGUGGGGGACAGUUGUCACAGCAGAUGGGCUCCAGUAACCAAACUGUGUGUGGGCAGGUGCUGGGUAGGCAGACUCCACAGCGGCAGCUUUUAUCAAAUGAGCAGAAGGUGGUGGCAGGGCCGGUGGGGACG